rnacentral:sRNA from 1 species
CUGAAUUGUCAACAGGAGUUGUUGCUGGUCUCCAAACGGAGUCAUGUGCACGCUCUGUUCGCACAUCCACUCACACCUGUGCACCCUCUGUAGUUCUACGGUUGGGGGGUCCUGCUCUCCUUCUGUGGUUCUGCGUCUUUACACACGCUCUGUAUUAAAGUUUCGUGAGAUGUAAGUUGCGAUUGACGCAAUACAAUACAACUUUCAGCAACGGAUCUCUUGGCUCUCGCAUCGAUGAAGAACGCAGCGAAAUGCGAUAAGUAAUGUGAAUUGCAGAAUUCAGUGAAUCAUCGAAUCUUUGAACGCACCUUGCACCCUUUGGCCAUUCCGGAGGGCAUGCCUGUUUGAGUAUCAUAAACACCUCAACUCUCAUGGUUUUCUGUGACGAGCUUGGACUUUGGGGGUUUUGCUGGCCUGCAGUCAGCUCCUCUUAAAUGAAUCAGCUUAACCAGUGUUUGUUGGCAUCACGGUGUGAUAACUAUCUACACUUGUGAUUUACCACCAGGUAAACCUUCAGCAAUGGAGGUUCACUGGAGCUCACAAACGUCACUCCCCAGUGAGGACAACUCUUUUGAAUG